UCUCCGUAGGUGAACCUGCGGAGGGAUCAUUACAGAGUUCUCGCCCUCGCGGGUAGAUCUCCCACCCACUGUUAUCGUUACUGUGUUGCUUUGGCGGGCCGCCGGGCCCCGCUCGGCCGCCGGCUCCGGCUGGCGCGCGCCCGCCAGAGGCCCAGCAAACUCUGAAUGUUAGUGUCGUCUGAGUACUAUAUAAUAGUUAAAACUUACAACAACGGAUCUCUUGGUUCUG
rnacentral:misc_RNA from 1 species